rnacentral:rRNA from 1 species
UACAGAGGGGGCAAGCGUUAUUCGGAAUUACUGGGCGUAAAGCGUGCGCAGGCGGCUUUGCAAGACAGAUGUGAAAUCCCCGGGCUCAACCUGGGAACUGCAUUUGUGACUGCAAGGCUAGAGUACGGCAGAGGGGGAUGGAAUUCCGCGUGUAGCAGUGAAAUGCGUAGAUAUGCGGAGGAACACCGAUGGCGAAGGCAAUCCCCUGGGCCUGUACUGACGCUCAUGCACGAAAGCGUGGGGAGCAAACAGG